rnacentral:rRNA from 1 species
ACGCGAGCUGGGUUCAGAACGUCGUGAGACAGUUCGGUCCCUAUCCGUCGCGGGCGUAGGAAAUUUGAGAGGAGCUGUCCUUAGUACGAGAGGACCGGGAUGGACGCACCGCUGGUGUACCAGUUGUCCCGCCAGGGGCACAGCUGGGUAGCUAUGUGCGGAAGGGAUAAGCGCUGAAAGCAUCUAAGCGUGAAGCCCCCCUCAAGAUGAGAUUUCCCAUCGCGUCAAGCGAGUAAGAUCCCUUGAAGAUGACAAGGUAGAUAGGUCCGAGGUGGAAGCGUGGCGACACGUGCAGCUGACGGAUACUAAUCGAUCGAGGACUUAACUAA